GACGAACGCUGGCGGCGUGCUUAACACAUGCAAGUCGAACGGAAAAGCCCUGCUUUUGUGGGGGGCUCGAGUGGCGAAAGGGGGAGUAACACGUGAGUAACCUGCCCUUGACUUUGGGAUAACUUCAGGAAACUGGGGCUAAUACCGGAUAGGAGCUCCUGCUGCAUGGGGGGGGUUGGAAAGGUUCGGCGGUUGGGGAUGGACUCGCGGCUUAUCAGCUUGUUGGUGGGGUAGUGGCUUACCAAGGCUUUGACGGGUAGCCGGCCUGAGAGGGUGACCGGCCACAUUGGGACUGAGAUACGGCCCAGACUCCUACGGGAGGCAGCAGUGGGGAAUAUUGCACAAUGGGCGGAAGCCUGAUGCAGCAACGCCGCGUGCGGGAUGACGGCCUUCGGGUUGUAAACCGCUUUCGCCUGUGACGAAGCGUGAGUGACGGUAAUGGGUAAAGAAGCACCGGCUAACUACGUG
rnacentral:rRNA from 1 species